rnacentral:rRNA from 1 species
UACGGAGGGGCUAGCGUUGUUCGGAAUUACUGGGCGUAAAGCGCGCGUAGGCGGACCUGCAAGUCGGGGGUGAAAGCCCGAGGCUCAACCUCGGAACUGCCUUCGAUACUGCGGGUCUCGAGUCCGGGAGAGGUGAGUGGAAUUCCUAGUGUAGAGGUGAAAUUCGUAGAUAUUAGGAAGGAACACCAGUGGCGAAGGGCGGC